rnacentral:rRNA from 1 species
AUUGAACGCUGGCGGAAUGCUUUACACAUGCAAGUCGAGCGGCAGCGCGGGGGCAACCCUGGCGGCGAGCGGCGAACGGGUGAGUAAUACAUCGGAACGUGUCCUUGAGUGGGGGAGUAGCUCGGCGAAAGCCGGAUUAAUACCGCAUAAGCUCUGCGGAGGAAAGACGGGGGACGUGGUAACGGCCUCGCGCUGUUGGAGCGGCCGAUGUCGGAUUAGCUAGUUGGUGGGG